rnacentral:rRNA from 1 species
UACAGAGGGUGCGAGCGUUAAUCGGAUUUACUGGGCGUAAAGGGCGCGUAGGUGGUUGCGUAAGUGAGAUGUGAAAUCCCCGGGCUUAACCUGGGAACUGCAUCUUAUACUGCGUAGCUGGAGUACAUGAGAGGGUAGUGGAAUUUCCGGUGUAGCGGUGAAAUGCGUAGAUAUCGGAAGGAACACCAGUGGCGAAGGCGGCUACCUGGCAUGAUACUGACACUGAGGCGCGAGAGCGUGGGGAGCAAACAGG